rnacentral:rRNA from 19 species
UUAAAUUGAAGAGUUUGAUCAUGGCUCAGAUUGAACGCUGGCGGCAGGCCUAACACAUGCAAGUCGAACGGUAACAGGAAGCAGCUUGCUGCUUCGCUGACGAGUGGCGGACGGGUGAGUAAUGUCUGGGAAACUGCCUGAUGGAGGGGGAUAACUACUGGAAACGGUGGCUAAUACCGCAUAACGUCGCAAGACCAAAGAGGGGGACCUUCGGGCCUCUUGCCAUCAGAUGUGCCCAGAUGGGAUUAGCUUGUUGGUGAGGUAACGGCUCACCAAGGCGACGAUCCCUAGCUGGUCUGAGAGGAUGACCAGCCACACUGGAACUGAGACACGGUCCAGACUCCUACGGGAGGCAGCAGUGGGGAAUAUUGCACAAUGGGCGCAAGCCUGAUGCAGCCAUGCCGCGUGUAUGAAGAAGGCCUUCGGGUUGUAAAGUACUUUCAGCGGGGAGGAAGGUGUUGUGGUUAAUAACCGCAGCAAUUGACGUUACCCGCAGAAGAAGCACCGGCUAACUCCGUGCCAGCAGCCGCGGUAAUACGGAGGGUGCAAGCGUUAAUCGGAAUUACUGGGCGUAAAGCGCACGCAGGCGGUCUGUCAAGUCGGAUGUGAAAUCCCCGGGCUCAACCUGGGAACUGCAUUCGAAACUGGCAGGCUUGAGUCUUGUAGAGGGGGGUAGAAUUCCAGGUGUAGCGGUGAAAUGCGUAGAGAUCUGGAGGAAUACCGGUGGCGAAGGCGGCCCCCUGGACAAAGACUGACGCUCAGGUGCGAAAGCGUGGGGAGCAAACAGGAUUAGAUACCCUGGUAGUCCACGCCGUAAACGAUGUCUACUUGGAGGUUGUGCCCUUGAGGCGUGGCUUCCGGAGCUAACGCGUUAAGUAGACCGCCUGGGGAGUACGGCCGCAAGGUUAAAACUCAAAUGAAUUGACGGGGGCCCGCACAAGCGGUGGAGCAUGUGGUUUAAUUCGAUGCAACGCGAAGAACCUUACCUGGUCUUGACAUCCACAGAACUUUCCAGAGAUGGAUUGGUGCCUUCGGGAACUGUGAGACAGGUGCUGCAUGGCUGUCGUCAGCUCGUGUUGUGAAAUGUUGGGUUAAGUCCCGCAACGAGCGCAACCCUUAUCCUUUGUUGCCAGCGAUUAGGUCGGGAACUCAAAGGAGACUGCCAGUGAUAAACUGGAGGAAGGUGGGGAUGACGUCAAGUCAUCAUGGCCCUUACGACCAGGGCUACACACGUGCUACAAUGGCGCAUACAAAGAGAAGCGACCUCGCGAGAGCAAGCGGACCUCAUAAAGUGCGUCGUAGUCCGGAUUGGAGUCUGCAACUCGACUCCAUGAAGUCGGAAUCGCUAGUAAUCGUGGAUCAGAAUGCCACGGUGAAUACGUUCCCGGGCCUUGUACACACCGCCCGUCACACCAUGGGAGUGGGUUGCAAAAGAAGUAGGUAGCUUAACCUUCGGGAGGGCGCUUACCACUUUGUGAUUCAUGACUGGGGUGAAGUCGUAACAAGGUAACCGUAGGGGAACCUGCGGUUGGAUCACCUCCUUACCUUAAAGAAGC